rnacentral:rRNA from 1 species
UACGAGGGGUCCUAGCGUUGUUCGGAAUCAUUGGGCGUAAAGCGUCUGUAGGCGGCUUUGUAAGUCGGGUGUGAAAGCCCCAGGCUCAACCUGGGGAAGUGCAUUCGAUACUGCAUAGCUUGAAUGUUGGAGAGGAUAGUAGAAUUCCAGGUGUAGUGGUGAAAUACGUAGAUAUCUGGAGGAAUACCGGUGGCGAAGGCGGCUAUCUGGCCAAACAUUGACGCUGAGAGACGAAAAGCAUGGGGGAUCAAACAGG